CCACUUGGUGCCGCUGGGACUGAGUCUUGAGACAGAUGAAGAUUGUGGAGGCCUUUUUUCCUCAUGUGCAGGGCUUGUUUUGGAUGUCAGUCUGUCAGUUGAAUGUGCAUCAGGAUGUGCCUCUUCAAGCCUUCAGAUAGCACGCUCGCCCCAGGGAGUUCACAUCAUCCCUCACAGUAUUACAGUAACACUGCACAACAUAAGGUGAGAAAGGCAGGAAAUACCACCAUGCCCCAACACUGAUAAGGACAAGGAGCUGAACCAUGGCCACGUGGUAAACGAUGCCAGACAAUAGAGGAACCAUAUACUCUCUGUUUAUGUGUGCGUGGGAGAGAGAAAGAUAGAUUGAUAGAGAAAUAUAUUAGUACAUGGUCAUAUUAUACAUGCAAUGUGGAAAUCCUGGUAACCAUUUACA